AUGCCACUGAGCUAUAUCCCCGACAAAGUAGCAUUCUUUGAAAACCAGGUUUUAGUCAGGCCGGGCGUACUGGUGCACGCCUGUAAUCCCAGCACCGAGAGGCUGAGGCAGGAGGGCUGUUGUGUGUUUGAGGCCAGCCUGGAUUACACAGUUAGUUCAAGGCCCGUGAACUACGCAGUGAGACCCUGUCUCAAAAAAAAAAAAAAAAAAAAAAAAAACCUCAAAACAACAACAAAACCCCUGGCCUCCCAGCGGGGAACACCUGUCAUUCCAGCUGUCUCGGAGGCUGAAGCAGGAGGAGGGCAAAUUCAAGCCCAGCCUGAGCAACUUAGUGAGACCCUGUCUCAAAACUAGGGCCAAGGGGGGCUGGGGAUUUAGCUCAGCGGCACAGAGCCUGCCUGGCAAGCGCAAGGUCGUGAGUUCGAUUCCCGGUACCGGAAAAAAACAAAACACAAAAAACA
rnacentral:lncRNA from 1 species